rnacentral:lncRNA from 1 species
UGAUUAGUGGUUUUUUUCUUAAAAAGAUUAGUCGAUUUGUUUAUUUCUUGAUACACCCAUGCUUCUCAUCUUAUAAAAAGUUCAACUAUAUGAAAGGAAAAUUCAAUGUUACUGAAGCACAACACUUCCGGCAGAGCUGCCUGAAAUGAAACACUCACUUGAUUGACGGCCGGAGGGAUUGUGGCUAUGCGGAGCAAGUCAUCAAGCUUUUUGCUUGAGAAGUUGCUUACACCUAUUGCUUUGGUGAGACCGAGCUUCUGACAGUCUUCCAGGUCUUUCCAAACGGACGCAUAAUCCAUGGGGAGAAGGUCCUCCUUCUUCACGGGAAACUCAAAAUUUCCAGGCUUCAUGCUUAGUGGCCAAUGAAUGAGAUAGAGAUCAAGGUACUCCAGUUCAAGAUUCCUACAUAAACCAAACCCAAAAUGAAAAAUUAAUAGAGAAGAAAGAUCAAAUAUGCGAAGUAAUUGAUGGUAUAGCUAGAGAAAAGAAUAUGAUAAGAAGUGUUUGGUUUAUUACUUGAGUGUUUGUUGCAGUGUAGGAAGGACGCAGUGGGGGUGUGCUUUGUUUCCCCAAAGCUUUGACGUGACAAAAAGCUCAUCCCGCGAAUUAAUGAGCCCAAUCUGUAAAGCCUUUUUUAUGGCUUCACCAAGGGGUUUCUCGGAGUUGUAAACAGAAGCUGUGUCGAAGUGUCGAUAGCCAACCUUUAUUGCAUGGAGAACAGAGUCUUUCGUUUCCGAAGGGGCAGAACGAUACACAGCUGUGCCCAUGCCCACCAGAGGUAUGGCUUUUCCUGUUGAUCCCAGGGCCUUCUCCGGAAUGCUUCCCAUUUUCUCUACUCUAUCUCGUGAAAAUUAUCACUUCCUCUGAGAUCUAUAUAUAUAGGCAUAUAAUUCCCAAACCAUCAGUAUCCGUUCCUAUCACAUACUAGCAGCGCAUCAGUCUUAAAAAUUAAUCAAUACUUACCGUUGAAUGACCAACACUAUCUGACGACCGCAGUGAUCUCACACAUUUUGGAUUAUUCAUACAUGGCCGCUAAGUCACCACAGCAGUUGCAAUCCUGUUAGGCGCAAUGACCAUUUUAUUUUCUCUUUCGUACGUAGGUGGCCUUUUAUGUUGGGCGCCCUCGUAUGUGAGGGAGUAGGCCCAUAUGUUGGGAUCAAGUCAGUUACAUUAAAAAAAACCGGAGACAAGAGAAGAGAAGAAAAAUGCUAUUUGCUCAAAUUUCAUCAAUAAGUCGAUCUCGCUUCAUCUGUUGUCUAAUCAAAUUAAAAUUUGGAGGAAAGGUUUAAAACUCAAGUAUCUACAAUUUGAACGGUGGAGAUCAGAUUUUGAAUUCGAAAAAUUGAUGUUAUUGCCCAUAAACAGUAACGACGUUUUUAGUAUACUUCCUCUAAUUUUUCUUUAUUUUUGUCAAAAGAAAUUAUAUAAUCCAAGGCUAUAUGUGAUUUUGAUGUAUUUGAUAAUCUUUAAAUAUUAUUCUAAAAAAGACAGAUGUAACUCAUUAUUGUUAAUAAUGGAUGUUUGAAUUGGAAUAAAUCCCGUAAUUUUUUCUUUCAAAUUGGGGGGUUUUCCAUGUAAAAAUUUUGAUGUCUAAUUUAUUUUCUUGUUACAUGAAUUUAUUUAUUUAUUACUGUUAAUUGAUAUUGCCUAUUUAGUUUUACCUAAAGAAAUGAUAGAAAAAUUACGAUGUUUAUUGAAAUGAUAGAAAAAUUACGAUGUUUAUUGAAAUACUGUCAAUUCACCCUAACAUUUUAAUUGCUUAGUUUAUUCAGAAAAAGUUCACGGCUUUACUUGCAUUGCACAGAACACUCAAUCAUUUUGUCAUCGGCCCCACCCCAUAAUAAUAAUAAUAAUAACCAAUGCUCAUUACAUUUCCAACUUGUAAGUGGACGGAGUCAAGAUUAAGAGAAAGUGAUGUAUCAGAUACUGGCUCCGGGUUGAAGAUACAACGAUCCACCUCCUCAGCUAGUAUUGGAAAAUCAUGAAAGCUUUUAAAUGGCCGUAAUAAAGUGGAGAUAAAUGAUGAUUCCUUGCACGUUUAUGUAUAAAAUUUAUUUUUAAAAAAAGCAUUAACCACACCUACCAAAAAUCUUUUUAUUCAAAAUCUUUCUAAAAAAAUAAAUAUAUAUUAAAUAAUGAAAUAAUUGUGUUUUGAAUCUAAUUGAGCCCAAAAAUUAAGAUUUGGUCCAUAAAAAUUGUAUAAUUGAUGAAAAAGAUAUAAAAUGUGAAGAGACCAAUAUACCAUUCAAAACUAUUUUGAGUAUUUUUUAUCACAAUGUUUGAUAAACUUUUUUAUCUUAAUUUUUUUUAAUAAUUAUUUUGAAAAUUUAUUAUUUUUAGAAAACUAUUUUUUAAAAAAAAUAUAUUCUAAAAAUAUAUCAUUUAAAAAAAUAAUUUUGACAUACUUUUAGUUAUUUUUUAUAUACAUAAUUUUAAAUAUAUAUUUUCCAAGAUGUUUAAUUUUUAAAUAAUAAUAAUAAUUUAUUUUUAUUUUUUUGGAAAAUGAUGUAUUUUUUUCCAAAUCACUAAAUUAAAUUAAAUUUUAUUAAGGUUUAUAAAAGGAAUAAAAUUUAAAUUAAUGUUUUUCUACUCUUUUUUUUUUCAUAGUCAAUAAAUAUCAUUUUUGAAAAGAUAAAAAGUUCAUAUCUUUGUUCUCAAUUUUCACACUUUCUCUAAGUCUUGGGCUUAAAUGGUGAACUUAUAUGGACCAAAACUUAAUUUUUAGGCCCAAUUAGAUCCAAAACACAAUUGUCCCUUGAAUAAUUUAUUAAAGUAUCAAUCCAUGAAAAUCAAUCAUUGUUAAAUGUAUUUACAGCAACAUCUUUAAAAUAUAAAUAUAAUAAUUGGAAUAAAUUUAUUAAAGCCUCAAUUGAUAAAAAUAAACCGUGGUUAGAUGUAUUUAUUCCAAAUCUCUAUGAAUAAAAAUAAUCUUAAUUUUUUUAUGCUUUAAGGGAUUUGAAAAAACAAAAGGAGGUAAAAAAUAAAUGGUAAAGUUGUAUGGGAACAUUGUAAAAUUUUGAUUAGUAGUCACCACAAUGAGAGUUGGUUAGCUUUCCCAAGUAUUGGCCAAGGUGGUUCUUAACUAGGAGGAAUUUAAUUCUGUGUGAUUUUGAAAGUUGGAAUCCAUCUUUAUAAGGUUGUGGAAAUGCUUAGAAACCUAAGAUAUAAUUUGGGUAUAUUUUAUUUGUGAAAAAAUUGAGGUAAAAUAUAAAGGAAAAAAAUAUUGGAAAAAAAGAAAAAAAGAAAAAGUGAAUAAAGAAAAUAAAAUAUAGAAUUAAAGUUAAUACAUUAUUUUUGUAUAUUACUUUAAAUUUAUUUUACCUAUUUUAAUUUUUCUACACAAAAAUUAAAUAAUUUAAAAAUACCUAAAAUUUUAAUUUAUUUUAAUUAUAUUUGAUUUCUUUUAAUAUUUUUUUUAUUUGAUAACUAAACAUAAGAAAAUAAUUUUCCUUAGGAUUUUUUUUUCUUUCCAAUCAAAUAUAACCUUAAUAAAGCUUUUAAAAGCAAUUUUCAAAUAUAUUUUUUAGAAUGGUUCUUUAAAUUAAAUAAUUCUCCAUUAUUUCUUUAUAUACAAUACAAAAGUCGUAAAAUAUUCUCCAUAUUUUCAAUUAUUUCUCAUAAUAUUUUAUAAAAAUAAACAUUCAAUUUAUUCCAAAGAAACAAGAUACUUGUAGAAUAAAUUAUGAAAAAUUUAUUUUCAAUUAAAAAUUUAUUGAAGGUGUUUUUUGAGUUGGAAAUUGUUUUAAAUUAUUUUCAAAAACAAUAUUCAAAUAAGGUCCAAGUGCAUGAACAAUAACAUCAACAUUGAGAUUCAAAAUUAGAAAUUUGAUAUUGAGUAUUAAUUUAGUUCUGACAUUAAUAAAAAUUCAAGGAGCUUUCUAAGGAUUGCAAAGGAUGAUGUGAAAAUAACCCGCACAUUUGGAAAUUAUAAGUAUUAUAACUAAAUGUUAAAAAUAAAACAAAUUUAUUGGAAGGCAAUUGGCCACAUAAUAUGAAAAUAUCGUUUCAUGUGCACAAUUCCAUUCCCAAUAACAAUUUUAAUCAUACUUAACAAAAUAAUUAAAAUAAAAUUUAAGAGUUUUCUAUAUAUAUAUAUAUAUAUAUAUAGUAGAAUUGUUUUAGACCAAAAAAUAUUUUACAACCACCCAUAUUUUAUAUAUAAUAUAGAGUAUAGGUAUAGAUUUUUUCCCUUUUGAAAUUAUAUUUAAUCAACAGCUAUAUUAAUAAUCAAAAUAGUUAACAUAUUUUAAAAAAAAAUGUUGAAUAAACUUUAGCAAUAUGUUUGAAAAAAAAAAUAUUAAUAUUCAAUUUUUUUUUAAAAAAAUUAUAAUUAUAAUUCAUAUUGAAAAAAAUAAGGUUAAUUGAAGAGUUAUGCUCAAACAUUUUUAGCAAUUAUAUUUAUUUUUCAAUGGUACUCUUUCAAAAAAAAUUUAUUCUCAUGCAUUACUAAGUUAAAAUAUAUUAAAAGAAAUAAAUCUUUAGGCCAAUCUUUAUAUAGAGAGUUUCCUAUUAGUACUUGAAUUUAACUUUAAAAAUUUUAAACAUUUAAAUAAUAAAUUUGUUGUAUACUUCCAACCCAUUUAAUAUUUAUUAACAUUUUACAAGUCUUAUUUAUGGUGAACCAAAAAUUGUUUUUAAUAUUCAUUAAUGAUUUAGUUUAAAACCCUAUUUUUAUUUUACGAAAAAAAUAAAAAAAUUGAGAUCAAAUAUUUGUAAAAUAUCUAUAGAAACUACUAAUACUGGAAGCAUCAUUACCUACAUUGUAAUUAUUUAUUAUUCCCAUAUAUUUAUAUAUAAAUAGUUUUAUAACUCCUAUUGAUUUAUUCUUUUUACUUCUCAAUAAUUAUUACCUACUUUGCAAAAAUAUUCUUCUCUGAAAUUCUUUCUUUUCUCUUACUAUAUGGGCAAACAAAAAAAUAUUUAUUAUUCCUCCCACCAGUCUUUCUCUUCAAUUUUUUCAUUGUUGUCUCAAUGUUUAAAUACACUCCAAUUGUCUUAAAAAAAACUGUGAUAAAAAACCAAUAUUUAACUUACAAGAUGAAUCCAAAAUGUACUAUGAUGCUACACAUAGGUAUCAUGAACAAUAUGAGACUAGACCUAAGGACAUAUGAAACUCCUUUUACUAAAAAAGAAUCAAUCAAAGCCUCAUACAUUACCUACCUCCUUUUACUAAAAAGGAAUCAAUCGAAAAACAUUCUCUACCUAAUCAUUGGGAUGGUAUAAAGUUUGCUAUGGAAUAAAAGAUUAAACCAAGAAAAGUGAAUUUUUUUUUUUUUCAUGUAGCUUGUGAGCUUGAACUAGUAGAGGGAUGACCUAUUUUUGAUAUGUCCAAAGUGAAUUGUUACAUUAUUAAUACAUAUCAAUAAAUUUAAAUCUUUAUAAUGCAAGACACAAGAGAAAGGAUUGUGGUUAAGGAAGGUUGGACUUCAAGAAGUGCAAAAACAAAUGAAGUUCUCCAUAAAAAAUUUAAAAUAAUAGAAGCUAACAGAAAAUGUUUAAGUAACUCUAAGUUGUUGUCAUCGGGUUUUCCUAUGAUAGAUAACUAUGUUUUUACACAUAUUUUUCAUGCAUGUACUCUAGCCUUAAUGAUUUAUUUUUUGUUGAAUUUUAGUGUAAUUAAUUUUCAUGUUAUUGAUUCUUCUCUUUUUCUAUCUUAAAGAAAAAAAAUUAUAUUUGUGUAUAAAAGAGAAAUAAUAGAGUCAUGACUCAUUUUAAACCAUUUUUAAUAUAUUAUUUUUUGGUACAUAGUUCUGUUUUUGAGUUUCAAUUAUUUUCAAAAAUUGCUAUACUCGUUCAAAAAAAUCUAAAACCUUAAAUUUCACUUGAUUUAAAGAGUAUGAUUUUAUCUCAUCCCAUCCAUAUUAUAUAUAAUAUUAAAUAAAAAAUAUUUUAUUUUAUAUAGACAUAUAGUAAAAGAAAUAUUUUCAUAAAAAUAAAGUAUACAAAUUUAUAAUAUUAAUUUAUUUAUAAAUAAUAUUUAUUUUUUAUAUAUUAAAAAUAAAAAAAUGUUUUUUUUAAAACCGAACUAGUGAUCAAAUCGAAAAAAUUAUCAAUUCACAGUUCACAAGUCGAAUCCGUGACAUUAUAAAUAUAUAUUUUAUAUAUUAUUAAAAUUAAAAAUAAUUAUAAAAAAUAAAAAUAAUAAAUUCUACUAAGUCAUCCUAUAUCAUAUUUCUAAUACAAUGAUAAUAUAAAUCAAUAUAACACUUUUAUCAAAAAAUUACUAUCCUAUAUCCACAAAUGCUCAAUAAACUAACAAUGAUAAAAAUUAUUUAAAAAUUAGAAAAUUAGUUUCAAAUAAUAAAUUUAGAUUAAAAUAGGAAUUUUAAUUUAAAAUUAGAAAGAUUAAUUUAAAAUUUAAAAUUUUAUUUUUAAAUCAUAAACUUAUUUUAAAAUAAAAAAUUAUUUAUUUAAAAUAUAAGGACACUUUAUUUUCAAAAAUUUAUUUAAUAUUUUCAUUAAUUUAGAUUAAAAGCAUAAAUUUUAAAAAUCAUAAAGUCAAAAGAAUUACAAAUGUAAAAAUUACAAUAAAUAAGGAAACGAGGAAAUAAGGUAAUAGAGUAAAAGAUCUAAAUCAUAAAGUCAAAAGAAUUACAAAUCUAAAAAUUAAGGUAAAUAAGGAAAUAAGGUAAUAGAAUAAAAGAAAUAAACAAAAAUCGGACUUAUGCCCGUCGGAGCGGCCUCGUAGGUCGGCGAUGUCGCGUUGGCUGGGCUGGAGGUGGGAGUUUGACGGGAGCAAUAGCACGCGAGCUGGAAAUGGUGGGGUUGGUUUGUGGAGUCCGGUGGACUGUUUUGGUGUGGGAGGGGGCUACGAUUGCGGAGGGGAGAACGAGCUGCGAGGCAACGACUGAGGGGUGGUUUGUGGAGUCUUGUGGACUGUUUUGCUGUGGGCAGGGCAACAACUGUUUUGGGGAGGGGGGUGGUGUGGAGGGGAGAGAACGGGCUGGAAAAAGUGGGCGGGGCAACGAUUAUGGGAGAGGGAAAACAGGUUGGAAGAACGAAAAAGAAAGGGAAGGCAAAAAACAAAAAGUAAAAUUUUCAUUUCAACCGUUCUAUUCAUCAAAAACCACAAAAACCAAUCGGGUCAACUGGAUCACCGAUUUGACUGUCGGUAGUCGGUACCAGUGAUUUGAGGCUGGUUUAGAGGCUGGCCGGUUCAAAAGGGUGAAUCGAGACCGGACUGGUGACCAACUGACAGUCAGAUAAGUUGGACCCGUUGAUCCGAUCCGAUUUUUAAAACGCUAAAAAAAAUUCACAACAUUUUCAAAAAAUUACAAAGAAAUAUAAAAGAUACACUAAGAAAUUUUUAAGAAAAAUGAGGAGCUAUUUUAAAAUAUUUGAUAAUAAAAGUAUGGUACAGGUAGAGUGGUGGCUGGGAGAACUAUUUCUGUGCUAAAGGGGAACCUCUUGGCUAGAUAUUCCACCUCUCCUAGCACCGGCUUAUAUGAGCUAUUUUUUGGCAUUGAUUGACGACAUUUGCUUUAUGGGGAAAAAAAUUUAUGAGCAGAGCCAUAUGAAAAUUAUGGAUGUUCAAUUAGCUGUGAGAAAAAGAGCACACAAUCAUUCAAAGGUGACGAGCUAUUCAUUGGGGAUAGCCCUCCUCUAAAUUUCUUCCCAAUUUUAUCAAAUAGUAAUUGAUCGAUCACAAAAGGUUCAAUUCAUUCACAAAUAUAACUAGCUAUUUUCAAGUCAAUUGGGAGUGGUGCUCAGCCAUGCUCAUUUUAAUCAGAAUUGAAUUUCCUCAUCCCACAGCUCCACAACAGACUUGUAGGGGCCUUCAUCGCUAAUGAAUUCCAGGCCUGGAACCCCUUUAAAUUGCUGAAUUUGAUCUAUUUUCUGUAUAUCCUCCACACUUAGCUCCCAAUCGAAUAUCUCUAGAUUCUCUUUCAUUCUUUCCUUGUUGAAACUCUUCACGAUAACACUCACACCUUGUUCGUAUAUCCACCUCAAACAAACCUUCAAAAUCAACACGAGAAAAUUCGGAUUGUGGCAAAAACAAUCACCACCAAGAUAAACAAAUCAUUUUUUUUUAAUUUUUUUUUGUCUUUUAAAUAAAUUUUGAACAUGAAGGCCAAGAAAAGCACAUUGGAUACUGUGACUUUGUGGGGUAGCUCUCGGAUUCUCGGUCAACAUACAAUAUAUCUCCACUACAAUAUUUAAGUAAAAGCAGUCACAUCAUUAUAUGAAAAAGGAUAAAAGAAAGAAAAAUUAAAUCAAACCCUACAAUCAAUGGUGCAUCCACUAACUAAGAAAUUGCAAACAAGGGUCAACUUGAUUAGUGAGUUUCAGCCGAACGAGUUAUUCCUAAUUGAAAAUUUUGGAAGGAACUGAUGUAGAAGCUAGAAAGCAAGAUGCUGUUGGAUUAUGUCCUUUCAAUCUUUGUAACGGCACUUUUACUAUAUACUUGAAACAAGCAAUUUUUAAGGCUCAAGAGAAUUUUACCUGAGCAAUCGUUUUGCCUCUUGCUUGGGCAAUUUCUUUCAGGACUUGACAUUCCAUAACUCUGUCACCUCCCCACGGUGUUCCUCUGGCACCCAAAGGAGAGUAGGCCGUGAUGUGGAUUCCUUUCUCUGCACAGAACUCCCUAAGCUUCUUCUGCUGCCAAAGUGGGUUCAUCUCCACCUUCCCAAACAGUAGUUAUGAUUAGUGGUUUUUUUCUUAAAAAGAUUCGUCGAUUUGUUUAUUUCUUGAUACACCCAUGCUUCUCAUCUUAUAAAAAGUUCAACUAUAUGAAAGGAAAUUCAAUGUUACUAAAGCACAACACUUCCGGCAGAGCUGCCUGAAAUGAAACACUCACUUGAUUGACGGCCGGAGGGAUUGUGGCUAUGCGGAGCAAGUCAUCAAGCUUUUUGCUUGAGAAGUUGCUUACACCUAUUGCUUUGGUGAGACCGAGCUUCUGACAGUCUUCCAGGUCUUUCCAAACGGACGCAUAAUCCAUGGGGAGAAGGUCCUCCUUCUUCAAGGGAAACUCAAAAUUUCCAGGCUUCAUGCUUAGUGGCCAAUGAAUGAGAUAGAGAUCAAGGUACUCCAGUUCAAGAUUCCUACAUAAACCAAACCCAAAAUGAAAAAUUAAUAGAGAAGAAAGAUCAAAUAUGC